rnacentral:lncRNA from 1 species
UUUUUUUUUUUUUUUUUUUUGUUAAGAGAAAGAAAGAACAUGAAGUUGGGUGGGUAAUAAGGUGAGGGUGGAGUUGGGGGAAGGGUAAGAAAAUGAUUAAAACAUAUUGUAUGAAAUUCUCAAAUAAUAAAUAACAUUUAAAUAGAAAGAAGAAUAUCUUAACAUCUGGGUGUGGUUUUCUUCCCACUGUGCACAUUACACAGCUAGGGGAAAGAGUCUCUGUAGAAGCAAGAAAAGGGGGUAGAUGAAGCUGCCUUCGAUCAUGCUGGAUAGUUACGUUGGAAGCUAUCACAUCAGAGGCGUCUGUUUUCCUCCCUCCUGCCUUUUGCCUCUUUGGGCUUUGCGACUGUUUUUCCUUUGUGACCUAAGGGACUUCUGAACGUGGAUGAUUAAGGCAUCCAACUUCAGAUGGGCUCUGAAGGAGUGGCAUCUGGAGUGCUAUUUUGAUGUCAGAUAUCCAUUGUUUCUUUACCAGGAAUCAAGCAGCUGGGAGAUGCACAACACUACCGAGGGGAGCUGGGGAUUUGUUACUUGUAAAUGCAGAGAAAGAAAGCAACAGAUCCUGGUAGACAGUUGAGAUGUUCAGCUUAUGCCUUCAGAGAAUAGGGACUUGUCUCUCUGUGAUUCUCAUCAUCAUCUGGGAAGAGGAGGGAGGAGGUGUGCUGGCUGGGUUUGUACUGAAGUGUACAAGUCUAUAUUUGAUGCACUUCACUAAUUGAUUAAUUGGCAUCACAGGUCUUUCUUGUUCCCAAUGUUCCAGGUGCUGGGAUAUGGUGGUAACAACCCCCAACCCUACCCCAAAUCCUUGCACUUAAGAUACUGUGGUGUUAGACAAGGGGUGAUGGUGAAGACAAAUUCAUAGUCAUUAUGGUGGUGAAUGUACAGAAGGCAUUAGCAAAAGAAAUAAUUAAAUUUGAGUAUGGUCACGGAAGGUGUCCUUAACAAUGAUCAUAAACCAAGUAACUACCAUGGGAGAAAGGGCAGCUUUCUCAUGGUGUACAAUAUUUAAAACAUUUCAGUUAUUAGAAUAUAAACAUGCAUAGAGACUUAUUUAUUUAUUUUGAGGAAGGGCAUCCACUGUCAUUGCGCUCCUGCUUGUCUGUGGGUUUUUCAGCAUUAGCUAGGUCAGAGUUAAGGUAGUCUUAGUUUUAAGGGGCUGCUGUUUAUAAAGUUGCUAUAAAACUAUUCUGUGCAACCGUGAAGCUAUCCACCUUCAGAUAGAUGUGCAGUGUUGUUUUUGUUUUUGUUUUUGUUUUUCUUCCCCUUAGACUUUUGGAAAUUAAAGUCCUACUCCUCCUCCCAAGAUGUACAGAGUCCUUUCUGCAGAGUGGAGUGCUAGUGGCCAUUGACUUGGCUCUCGAUGUUUUGGUUGCAUAAUUUGGUGUGUGGACUCUCACUGUUAGAAGGAUUGGGUGGUUCAGUGUAACUCUGGGUUAUCCUGGUGAACAGGAUUUAAAGCUUCUGCCUCUUUCUAUAAAAAAUAUAAUAUAAAAAGACAAUGAGCUUCAUUUGUCACGAAGUAUGGCAUGGGCCAUUGUUCCACAUGCUAAUUACAUUGAGAGUACAAAGUACUCUUGAUUUUAUCUUUUACAAAAAGGCCUUCCAGUUGUGAUCUUCAAGCCCUCCUGAGUGAUUCAAUUGUAGCUGUGCUGUGGUUUGGAUCUGCAGAACUCAUGUUAAGGUAGUGCCCUGAGCGCUUGCAGGCCAGCUAAUCCCGUCUACUAAAAGAGAAGCCGCCGAGGAAUGUCAGUGAUCCACACGUGUACCUGUGAUGUGCACACUUGCAUCCACAUGUGCACUCACAGGAAAUCACCAACAUUCAUACACACACACUCACACACACACACACACACACACACACACACACAAAGUGGAAUCAAAGAGUCUCUGUUUAUCUCACUUGAAAUAGUACUAUUUCAAAUAAUGUGUAUUUUAUGAGUGUAUAUUUGGGUCACGCACAUGUUUUUUGUAGGUAUUGUACAUGUGUUCUACAAUAACAUUUUUAGUAUGUUUCUUGUUCUCAGAACUUUGCAGAACCAGUACAUCAGAUCACGGCUGGCAUCAUUUUAAACAUGAAAAUAUCUCCAACCUGACCUUAAGCCUAUGAUCAGACUCUUCCCUUCUGCUCGCCUUGUAGGCCUUUGCUUUCUGGUGGUUUUGCUUUGCUGUUGUUCCAGGGGAUUGGUGUUCACACUAAUUUGCUUCCAAAUAUUAUUCUAUACUCAGAGGCAGGGACACAUUUCCGGAUCAGGGUCAGUUUGGACCAGCUUCUCAAAAAAUAUCUCUUAAGUGAUCUAUUUAAGAAU